rnacentral:rRNA from 1 species
AACGAACGCUGGCGGCGUGUCUUAAGCAUGCAAGUCGAGCGGCAAGGGCCAGCAAUGGCCCCUAGAGCGGCGGACUGGUGAGUAACACGUGGGUGAUCUACCUCGGGGUUGGGGAUAGCCAUUAGAAAUAGUGGGUAAUACCGAAUACGCUUCCAUGGCUGCGGCCGUGGAAGGAAAGGCGCUACGGCGCCGACCUGGGAUGAGCCCGCGCCCCAUUAGCUAGUUGGUGAGGUAAUGGCCCACCAAGGCUAUGAUGGGUAGGCGGCCUGAGAGGGUGUACGCCCACAUUGGGACUGAGAUACGGCCCAAACUCCUACGGGAGGCAG